AACAGGAUUCAAUAAUGUUUUGCUACCCACGUUGUUCACACUUGUCAACAAUAUUGAACAACAUUGUUGAGCCUGAAUCGAGUGUAAUGAUAUUGUUCAAUAUUGUUGACAACAGUGAACAAUGUGGGCAGCAAAACAUUGUUCAAUCCUGUU